UUAAAUGAUGAUAAAGGACCUCAGGUCCGAACUAUAAACCCAGCUCUUCGAAUGUCUUUGUGCAUCAUGAGAAAGAAAACCAUACUGAUU
rnacentral:snoRNA from 1 species